rnacentral:rRNA from 1 species
AACGAACGCUGGCGGCAUGCCUAACACAUGCAAGUCGAACGAGACCUUCGGGUCUAGUGGCGCACGGGUGCGUAACGCGGGGGAACCUGCCCUUAGGUUCGGAAUAACUCGCCGAAAGGGGUGCUAAUACCGGAUAAUGUCUUCGGACCAAAGAUUUAUCGCCUUUGGAUGGGCCCGCGUUGGAUUAGCUAGUUGGUAGGGUAAAAGCCUACCAAGGCGACGAUCCAUAGCUGGUCUGAGAGGAUGAUCAGCCACACUGGGACUGAGACACGGCCCAGACUCCUACGGGAGGCAGCAGUGGGGAAUAUUGGACAAUGGGCGAAAGCCUGAUCCAGCAAUGCCGCGUGAGUGAUGAAGGCCUUAGGGUUGUAAAGCUCUUUUACCCGGGAUGAUAAUGACAGUACCGGGAGAAUAAGCUCCGGCUAACUCCGUG